CCUACGGGCGGCAGCAGUGGGGAAUAUUGCACAAUGGGCGCAAGCCUGAUGCAGCCAUGCCGCGUGUGUGAAGAAGGCCUUCGGGUUGUAAAGCACUUUCAGCGGGGAGGAAGGCGGUGAGGUUAAUAACCUCAUCGAUUGACGUUACCCGCAGAAGAAGCACCGGCUAACUCCGUGCCAGCAGCCGCGGUAAUACGGAGGGUGCAAGCGUUAAUCGGAAUUACUGGGCGUAAAGCGCACGCAGGCGGUCUGUCAAGUCGGAUGUGAAAUCCCCGGGCUCAACCUGGGAACUGCAUUCGAAACUGGCAGGCUAGAGUCUUGUAGAGGGGGGUAGAAUUCCAGGUGUAGCGGUGAAAUGCGUAGAGAUCUGGAGGAAUACCGGUGGCGAAGGCGGCCCCCUGGACAAAGACUGACGCUCAGGCGCGAAAGCGUGGGGAGCAAACAGGAUUAGAUACCCGAGUAGUC
rnacentral:rRNA from 1 species